ACUGCCUGAGCUCAGCUGGUAGAGCGCCGGAGUACAAAUUCGGAGACCGUGGGUUCAAAUCCCGCCGGCAGUC
rnacentral:tRNA from 1 species